GUCGAGCGGUAACAUUUCUAGCUUGCUAGAAGAUGACGAGCGGCGGACGGGUGAGUAAUACUUGGGGAUCUGCCUGAUGGAGGGGGACAACCACUGGAAACGGUGGCUAAUACCGCAUGACGCCUACGGGCCAAAGUGUGGGACCUUCGGGCCACACGCCAUCAGAUGAACCCAAGCGAGAUUAGCUAGUUGGUGAGGUAACGGCUCACCAAGGCGACGAUCUCUAGCUGGUCUGAGAGGAUGAUCAGCCACACUGGGACUGAGACACGGCCCAGACUCCUACGGGAGGCAGCAGUGGGGAAUAUUGGACAAUGGGCGCAAGCCUGAUCCAGCCAUGCCGCGUGUGUGAAGAAGGCCUUAGGGUUGUAAAGCACUUUCAGUGGUGAGGAAGGCGUUGUAGUUAAUAGCUGCAACGAUUGACGUUAGCCACAGAAGAAGCACCGGCUAACUCCGUGCCAGCAGCCGCGGUAAUACGGAGGGUGCGAGCGUUAAUCGGAAUUACUGGGCGUAAAGCGCACGUAGGCGGCUUGUUAAGCAAGAUGUGAAAGCCCAGGGCUCAACCUUGGAAUUGCAUUUUGAACUGGCAAGCUAGAGUUUUGAAGAGGGUGGUAGAAUUUCCAGUGUAGCGGUGAAAUGCGUAGAUAUUGGAAGGAAUACCAGUGGCGAAGGCGGCCACCUGGUCAAAAACUGACGCUGAGGAGCGAAAGCGUGGGGAGCAAACAGGAUUAGAUACCCUGGUAGUCCACGCCGUAAACGAUGUCGACUAGUUGUUCGUGUCUUUAAGAUGUGAGUAACGCAGCUAACGCACUAAGUCGACCGCCUGGGGAGUACGGCCGCAAGGUUAAAACUCAAAUGAAUUGACGGGGGCCCGCACAAGCGGUGGAGCAUGUGGUUUAAUUCGAUGCAACGCGAAGAACCUUACCAUCCCUUGACAUCCAGAGAAUCAUCUAGAGAUAGAUGAGUGCCUUCGGGAACUCUGAGACAGGUGCUGCAUGGCUGUCGUCAGCUCGUGUUGUGAGAUGUUGGGUUAAGUCCCGCAACGAGCGCAACCCUUAUCCUUAGUUGCCAGCACAUAAUGGUGGGAACUCUAGGGAGACUGCCGGUGAUAAACCGGAGGAAGGUGGGGACGACGUCAAGUCAUCAUGGCCCUUACGGGAUGGGCUACACACGUGCUACAAUGGCGCACACAAAGGGCAGCAAGCUAGCGAUAGCAAGCGAAUCUCAAAAAGUGCGUCGUAGUCCGGAUUGGAGUCUGCAACUCGACUCCAUGAAGUCGGAAUCGCUAGUAAUCGUGGAUCAGAAUGCCACGGUGAAUACGUUCCCGGGCCUUGUACACACCGCCCGUCACACCAUGGGAGUGGGCUGCACCAGAAGU
rnacentral:rRNA from 1 species